UAAAAUUGAACAUCAUAAGAACUUUGUGUGGUACUAAGUCAUUUAUGUAUUUUACAGUACAAUGUAUAAAGAGUAAAAUAGUGUAGUAAAUUAUUAUAUAUAAAUAAUUAUCGUGUGUUUAAUCUUCUUUCAUUAAUUAUUAUAUAUUUUCUAAACUCACAGUGUUCGUCAGCUCUCUAUAUAAUCAACUUAAAUAAGUUAACCCAUCAUGCAACGCAGUGGCGAAGCCAGAAUUUCAUGUGUGUGGGGGCUUCUCACAAAAUAUAAACAAUAAAAAAUUUGAACUCACAAGACAUACCAAAACAUCAAAAAUUAUAUUGUGUAUUCAUUACAAUCAUCAUUGUUCUUGACGAGUGUUCAUAUUUUGAAAUCGUUGCAUAACAACCUCGUCAUCUAUACUAUUGGAAAUGUCUCUCUCAAUAUAUGCAACGAAGCAAUCAUUUAUACAUAAAUUGAAAGAUCAAUUAAAAUCAAUAAAAAGAAAAAGAAAAUCAAAAUUUUAUGAACUAAAAAUAAAUAAAUAAAUAAAAAAGAGAACUACUAAAAAAACUUUAAUUGAAUAAAUUAACCUAAUUAAAACUUGAUAGUUUAAUAUGGAGUUUGAGAGAAAAACUCACAAGCAGUGCAUUGAGAAAGUCUGCUUUGCUGUUUGUGUAUCUCCAAGAAAGGAGAAAAAUGGGUUAGUGUUGUAAAUAUAUAUGGUGGAGCCCACCUCUACUUGCCUAUAAAUAUGGCAUCUCCCUCUAAUUGUAUUAGAUACAUAAAUGAGAAUGAAAAUUCAGUUUCUAUAUUUUCUCUCUAUCCCAAUUCUCUCUACAAUUUCUCUUUAGAUUUAUAACACGUUAUCAGCACGAAGCUCUAACCAGCUGAGUUCUCUGAUAAAACCCAGAGACCAAAAUCAAACAGAAAUUCAAAAAUUCCCAACUAGCCUUUUCUUGCUUGGCACUCUCCAAACUCUCUCCACAGCGCCAAAGCCAUGGGUGUGAAGCCCAAGCAAGAAGACCCUCCACCAUCCUCUGCCAGUGUAGAAACAGUAGAAGAAAUAAUGAAACUCUACAAGUCCCUGCCGCCAAGACCCUCCAUUGAAGAGGUUGAAGCAGCCCAAACUGUGCUCAAAACAGUCAACAGUGAGGAGGAAAAGAAGCUUGAGGAGAUAUCAAGGCAAGAGAAGCCCGAAAAUGUCCCUGAAGAGCUCUUCUCUGUGUUGCAGAAGGUGAAGAAAACUAUGGUUUUGUUUCAGAGCCAGGACCAGAGGAAAGAGGCUGUUCAUGUGGUUGAGAUGGAGGGUUUGUUUCAGACCUUUGAUGAUCUUAUCCAGACAGCUUCUGGGUUGGUUUCUGGUGAUACUCAGGUUCAGAAACAUGUUAAUUUAGAGGACCCAGUUGAGAAAAUUGGGAGAGAAACUGUGAUUAGUGAUGAAAGUUUGACGAUGAAGAAGGAAGAUAAGGAAUCAGAGAGAGAUGGGUUUAAGGGUGUGGUGAGAAGUGCUUCCACUUUGUCUUCAAGUUGCUUUAUUUUCUUCACAACUCCGAGAGGAUAGCUGUGGAUUAUGUCACCGUGCUGUUUCAGAAGUAUUGGUUAAGUUGAAAGAUCCUGAUACACAGCUGGAGAUCAUUGAGUUGCUUUUGAAGGCGUGCAAUAAGGAGGCAGCAAUGAUGAAAGCAAAAGAAAAAAUAAAAUAAAAUAAAAGAUCAUUCAGCAAGGGCACUGACCCUAAAGUGCUGAAGCAUCUUUUAAUAAAAACAGCAAAACCCACCGACCCACCGAAAGAAUAAGCGAUAAGAUCUCUGCUCCCGUAUCUUUCCCAUUAUUUCCUAUUAUAUUAUUUCCUAUUUCCUCUAAGUAUAUAUAUAUAUAUAUAUAUAAUAUACUAUAUUUAUCUGCCAUUCUAUUACUAACCUUUAACAAAAUGGACCCUUGGUAAUACUAAACAUAUUAUCAGUGGGAGACCGUUACUAAUACUAACAUUUUUCUUAUUUUAUUCGGUGGUGGUUUUAACCCCAUAUUUAUUUUAUUUACUGUAUGGUGUAGGUUUAUUACCCAUACGACAGUAUUUAUUUAAAAGGGUGGUGCGAGUUUAUCGUCCACGCCUUUACUUUUAUUUAAAUGUAUGGAGCAGAAUUAGUGCCCAUAUAAGCACAUUUACUUUACCGUACAUUUAAUUUUAUUUAAGGUAUGGUGCGGGAUUAACGUCCAUACAGCAAGCAAUUUAAUUUAUGAAUUUACUUUACCGCACAUUUACAUUUAUUUAAAGUAUGGUGCGGGUUUAUCGUCCAUACCAGUAAUUUAUUUACCAGUAAUUUAUUUUAUGGAUUAAUUGUGCUGUAUGAUGAGUUUUUACAGUAUGCAGAUCAGGACCAGAAGUUCCUUGAUCCUCAUCAUACAAUUACAUCAGGACUUGAAGAUCUUUGAUGAUGAUGUUAAUAUGAGAGCUGACAGUCUCUCCGGUACUAUAUUUUUUAAACAUGUGAUUGGACUUGAGGGUCCUUGAUCCCUGACAUGUAAAUAAGGACCUGGGGUUCCUUAAUGAUGUAACAGUACCGUAUUGGUUCAUAAUGCCGUACACAUGGAUGAUAACUGUACUGGCAAAUGUACUGUACACAUGAAUAGAUACGUAUUCAUGACUUGAUGAAUAGUACCGGAUAUAUGAAUAGUGAUGUAUACAUAAAUAUUAACCAUUUUGGGUAAGCCAUCACUAUUCAAAAAGGAACCUGCAAUUCCUUAAACUCAUGGAUGAGCAAUUAAAUGAGAUGCCAGAAGUUCCUCAAGAUAUGGAUAAUUACGUAAGGGCUUGAAGUCCAGAAAUAUGUACAGAAAAUUGUAAAAAUGUCCAUACCAUGAGAACAUGUGAUUUUGGCUUGAGGUUCAAAAUCUAAGUGUUGAGAACCUGAAGUUCCAACAAUUAAAUGGACAACCCUUGAGGUAUUAUUGCAAAUUGUGGUACGCCACAUAUUUCUUUGGCAUAAGAGAAUGAUGAAUUGAGGCUCCCCACAUAUUUUGUUAUAUCUGGGCCGGAAGCUCAUGAACCCAAAUAUAUGAGAUAUUAGCGUGGCCUUUACUCAAUUCAUAUUUCAUGUCCACUUGAAAAGGGCGAAUAAAUUCUGAGUUUGUGUUUAGCCCAGGCAAAAAGUUCCAUACGUUGAAAUAUGAAAUUUGGGAGAGUCGAUGUGGUUAUUUGAACCUAUAAGGCACAAGGUUCCAAACCGUCAUUUUGAAAAGACGUAAUAACUACAGGUGCAAGUUUAAGAAUGUGCACAAUUAUUAUAACAGAAACAUACAACAGAUAGAUUUUUUCCACCUGCAAUGAAGGUGCAGGCCCUGUAAAAUCUAUAAAAUUACAUUAUGUUCUGGAAGCCUCUGCAGGAAGAGGACGACGCCUCUUAAGCUUAGCCAUGAGCCUCUCGUGGUCUCCCAAAAUUCUUUCAUUGGAGACCUGCAGCAUGUCUAGCCUUCUCAGUGUAUCAACAGAGUACGAACUCACCAGUUUCAACAAGGCAUUAUUCUCUCCUUUAAGUUUCUCAACCUCCUGUUGAGACUCAUGAAGCAUUCUUUGGAGAGACGAAUUUUCGGUUGUUAACUUCUCAACCUCGUUUGCUCUGGCACGCAAGCGAUCAGCCAUGUUAGAAACAGAAACAGCACUCUGAAUGCUAAAAGCCAUUGAGUCAUCAAUAGCCUCUUCCUCAGACCUCCCUGUUAACAUCAUUUUAUCCAUUGGAGUAAUGAAAUUCCUAGCUACUAUGACAGCAGUAGCAUCAUUCAUCAUCACAGAAUCAUUAACUGUGAGAUGACGAUUUUGGGAUACAAAGGAUGGACGCCAAACUUUGACGUCACUGGUUGUUGUGGGAGUAUCAUUUAAAUUGAAAUAAUUUGGGCAGGAAGAAGAGGAAGCCAUUUUUAAGAAGGUUUCGAAGAAAGCCUUAAGAAAACUAAAGUUUCAGAAAAUGAAGGAAGUUAAGUUGAAACGCAGUUGCUCCAAUCAAGUUUUGCAAAGGCAAUAUCUAUAGGAGGAAAUAUGGCUACAGUUUUUCAGGAUCCCAAUAUCUUUUCGGAUCCCCAUAUUCUCUUUUUCUUUCCAGAUUCCAAAACUUCACGUGGCCUCCAUUAAUGUUUGUCGGCACUUUCGGCGUUUUCAAAGUAUUAUUUUCGUCAAAAGCCGAUCUUGCUUUGCGGAUUUCACGGAGCUAUUUUUUCAAAAGCACCCCGAGAAUCUCGCAAUUUUCCUAUGGUUAAUUUGAAAUUCACCGGUUCUACCUUUUCCUAUUAUUUGUGUAUAAAUGUGUUACUAACGAAAUUUUCUUUGCAGAAGACAUCCAGUUUUCUCCAUAUCUAGUGAUGCGAUAUCUACUUAUUUUUCUUAUCAGUGAGCACUCAAUAUGCCCGAGAAGCAAGACUAUCUCUGAUCAUCCAUUUAGGAAGCGAGACUAUCCCUGAUCACGUUUCCGCCACAUCAGGGGACUGUGAAGGUGACCUUAUGCUCUAAUCUCCGGAAGUUCUUCUAGACUAGGAGAAAUGAGAGCUGGUUGUUUGCUCCCACCAGCUUCCUUCCUUGAUUGCUGAGCUUGUUGUCUGCUCCCACCAGCUUCCUUCCUUGAUUGCUUACCUUCUCUUGCAAUCAAUAUCACAUUUUUUUUGCAUUUUUUCUCUUUUUGUAACUUUCUGUCUUUUUGAUAGAGAAAAGAGUUGUGACUUUGCUCUUGCAGGAUAUAACUAGAUCAUCAAGCGCUACAUUAUAUUUACUGGGUCGAUACAAGCUUGAAUGAUACUUGAGAAAAGUUUAUCCCACCUAAGGAUGUAAGCAAUAUUUAUGUUAUUUUAUGCUUAUAUACUUAUUUGAUAUUUUAUCUUGAAAGGUAACCAAAUGGGGAGAUAAGUCUGUUCCAAAAGAAUGGCUUGUAUGUAUCCACGAAUUAUUAAUGCAAAUUUUACAGAUUGCAAGUUGGAUACAUUGAUAAUACACUGCACAGAUUAAUGUCCCAUAAGAACAGAAUAUGGGUAUAGCAGUGAUCAAUAUGAUGCACGUCUGUUGCGUAGCAAAUGAUGUGGAUUGAAGUCCCGAAAGGACAAUCCUUUGACAUGUCAAUAUUGAUAUUAUACACGCCUAAUGCGUAGCAAAUUAUAUGGGUUAAAGUCCCAUAAUAUGGGUUAAGGUCCCAGAAAUUAAUUGACAUGUAUGUAUUAAUCUGUGGCAUGCCUGCAGCAUGACAGAUAUAUGGGUUCUAAAUGUUCCAACUCCCUACAUGGAGAUUUUCCACGCCCUAUGUAAAAUAAUGCUCCAUUGGAGGUUAUAAUCCACAUUCUCACAUAAUAAAGCCCCCUGAAGUGGCUUGGGUACCCAAAAGCAAAGAAAUGCUUAUAAUUGAUGCAUGCGCAUGCAAAUGAGAAUGAUGGGAUCAUGAAUUGAUGAAUGACAAUUUUUGAUCAUGAAUUGAUGAAUGACAAUUUUUUGUUUUGGAGUAGCUACUCAAAUCAUCAAGGAGUUGUGUUGAUUGGAACCACGUUCAAUUAUUAAAAUGUCGACAAUAUUAUUGGCCAAAAUGGAAUGAGGUAAUUCCAUUAUAGAUGAGAAUGAACGUGAAAGAACAAACCCACAGUACGAACCCCAAAAGAUGUUAAUACUGAAAUUUAUACUUGGGUGUUCGGAAUAGAAGGGAAUAUACCUACUUUGUAUGACACAAUGUUUCUGGCAGAAACAAGGAAUGUUGGGUUUUCUCCAUAUUUACAGAUUCAAUUGUGCCCCCUUAUUACACAAUUAUGGAGACCAACAUAUUAUCUUUAAGGGUUAUUAAAUGCACGGAGCAUAUCGCCAUAAGCGAUUUCCUAAAGAUGUAUAAAUAGCUGGGUAAAAGCUAUAUAAUGUGUCAUAAAGUUUAAUCCCUUUUAGACAAAAUCCGUUGAGAGGAUUGACAUUACAUAAAGCAAGUCCCUAAAGGACAUGUGCUUGAAGCACAAAAUUUGUACUCAAUAUUAAUAUGCAUAAAUUACCUCAGUGAGUACAUUGAUUAUAAUGUGAUUGCAACACAUUAAAGCUUCUGCGGAAUUCACGAAAUAUUUGUCUCGAUUUAAAAAUCGAGCAUUAUGCCAACGAGAUUCUUGCUUAUACUAAGAAAGUAUUGAAGCAUUUUUAUGAGGAUUAUCCGUUGGACACUUUAAGGAUUUUCCGGAAGUAUAUUGGACCGUACAUCGUAUUUUCCAGAUAGAGCUCAACUCCAUCACCAUCAUUUUGGGAUGAUGUGAGGCAUAUUUGAUGCUAUCUCAGCAUAACACCAUAUACGGGCAUAUUUUUUUUUUAGUAAACUUACAAAUAGCCCAAGUGUUAUUAGAUAUGCGGACUCUGAAAAUUUCUAUGGUCGCAUACUGGAAAAGCUAGUCAUGAAGUUUUCAGGGGGAGAUAUUCAUCAGGGGGAGCGUGGUUUUAAUAAAGACCUCCAUACACUGUACUCUUUUUCCUUCAUCCAGGUUUUUAUCCCACUGGGUUUUUCCUGGUAAGGUUUUAACGAGGCAGUGUCGCUCAAGAUUGACUCACAGAAGCAGUGUCAACUACGAUAUUCAGAAAGGUGAUCAACAGUAUGACUUAAAGAUAUUUUGCCAAGCAUCAGGGGGAGCGUGCUAUCAAUAAAGAUCUUCAAACAUUGUACUCUUUUUCUUCCAGGUUUUUAUCCCACUGGGUUUUUCCUGGCAAGGUUUUAACGAGGCAGUGUCGCACGCGCGUCAAUAUACAUAGAAUUUUAUGUUACACAUGAUUAUGUACUCUUUUUCCCUUUGACCAGUUUUUGUCCCACUGGGUUUUUACUGGCAAGGUUUUUAACGAGGCAUAUUCCAUAUCAUUUGUGGUCUCCAAGGGGGAGUGUUGUAAAUAUAUAUGGUGGAGCCCACCUCUACUUGCCUAUAAAUAUGGCAUCUCCCUCUAAUUGUAUUAGAUACAUAAAUGAGAAUGAAAAUUCAGUUUCUAUAUUUUCUCUCUAUCCCAAUUCUCUCUACAAUUUCUC
rnacentral:lncRNA from 1 species